rnacentral:rRNA from 1 species
GGACUGAGAUACGGCCCAGACUCCUACGGGAGGCAGCAGUCGGGAAUAUUGCGCAAUGGAGGAAACUCUGACGCAGUGACGCCGCGUAUAGGAAGAAGGUUUUCGGAUUGUAAACUAUUGUCGUUAGGGAAGAAAAGGACAGUACCUAAGGAGGAAGCUCCGGCUAACUACGUGCCAGCAGCCGCGGUAAUACGUAGGGAGCGAGCGUUAUCCGGAAUUAUUGGGUGUAAAGGGUGCGUAGACGGGAAGAUAAGUUAGUUGUGAAAUCCCUCGGCUUAACUGAGGAACUGCAACUAAAACUGUUUUUCUUGAGUGCAGGAGAGGUAAGUGGAAUUCCUAGUGUAGCGGUGAAAUGCGUAGAUAUUAGGAGGAACACCAGUGGCGAAGGCGACUUACUGGACUGUAACUGACGUUGAGGCACGAAAGUGUGGGGAGCAAACAGGAUUAGAUACCCUGGUAGUCCACACCGUAAACGAUGGAUACUAGGUGUAGGAGAUAUUAAGUCUUCUGUGCCGUCGCAAACGCAAUAAGUAUCCCACCUGGGGAGUACGGCCGCAAGGUUGAAACUCAAAGGAAUUGACGGGGGCCCGCACAAGCAGUGGAGUAUGUGGUUUAAUUCGAAGCAACGCGAAGAACCUUACCAAGGCUUGACAUAUACAGGAAUAUUUAAGAGAUUAAAUAGCUCUUCGGAGUCUGUAUACAGGUGGUGCAUGGUUGUCGUCAGCUCGUGCCGUGAGGUGUUGGGUUAAGUCCCGCAACGAGCGCAACCCCUGUCCUUAGUUGCCAGCAUGUAGAGAUGGGAACUCUAAGGAGACUGCCGUAGAUAAUACGGAGGAAGGUGGGGAUGACGUCAAAUCAUCAUGCCCUUUAUGUCUUGGGCUACACACGUACUACAAUGGAUGUUACAAAGGGAAGCGAAGUAGUGAUAUGGAGCGAAACCCAAAAAGCAUCCCCAGUUCGGAUUGUAGGCUGAAAUUCGCCUACAUGAAGCCGGAAUUGCUAGUAAUGGCAGGUCAGCAUACUGCC